rnacentral:rRNA from 1 species
CUUUAAGAGAGUUUGAUCUUGGCUCAGGGUGAACGCUGGCGGCGUGCUUAAUGCAUGCAAGUCGAGCGCGCCUGCAUCGCUUCGGUGGUGCAGGAAAGCGGCAAACGGCUGAGUAACGCGUGAGUAACCUGUCCUUCGGUGGGGUAAAACCCCGAGAAAUCGAGGCUAAUACCGCAUGUGGUCCCUGUGCCUUGGUGCAGGGAAGAAAGCCUUCGGGCGCCGGAGGAGGGGCUCGCGUCCUAUCAUGGUAGUUGGUGGGGUAAUGGCCUACCAAGCCUAUGACGGGUAGCUGGUCUGAGAGGAUGAUCAGCCAGAGGGGGACUGAGACACGGCCCCCACUCCUACGG